rnacentral:rRNA from 1 species
GGUAGGAAGAAGAUUCUAAGGCCAACGGGAGAAGGGUUGUUAAGGAACUCGGCAAAUUGACCCCGUAACUUCGGGAGAAGGGGUGCUCCAGAGAUGGAGCCGCAGAGAAUCGGCCCAAGCAACUGUUUACCAAAAACACAGGUUUGUGCUAAAUCGAAAGAUGACGUAUACGAGCUGACGCCUGCCCGGUGCUGGAAGGUUAAGAGGAGAUGUGCAAGCAUUGAAUCGAAGCCCCAGUGAACGGCGGCCGUAACUAUAACGGUCCUAAGGUAGCGAAAUUCCUUGUCAGGUAAGUUCUGACCCGCACGAAAGGCGUAAUGAUUUGGGCACUGUCUCAACAGCCCGCCCGGCGAAAUUGUAGUACCGGUGAAGAUGCCGGUUACCCGCGACAAGACGGAAAGACCCCAUGGAGCUUUACUGUAGCCUAAUAUUGGGUUUCGAUGUUGCAUGCACAGGAUAGAUGGGACACUGGGAAACAAUCGCUUUGGCGGUUGCGGAGUGGCCGUUGGGAUACCAUCCUUGCGAUAUUGGAAUUCUAACCUGCGGCUCUGAAUCGAGUCGGGGGACAUUGUUAGGUGGGCAGUUUGACUGGGGCGGUCGCCUCCUAAAAAGUAACGGAGGCGUUCAAAGGUUCGCUCAGCUUGAACGGAAAUCAAGCAAAAGAGUGCAAACGCAGAAGCGAGCCUAACUGCGAGACUGACGGGUCGAGCAGUAACGAAAGUUGGAGUUAGUGAUCCGGUGGUAUGUGAGUGGAAAUGCCAUCGCUCAACGGAUAAAAGCUACCCUGGGGAUAACAGGCUGAUCUCCCCCAAGAGUCCACAUCGACGGGGAGGUUUGGCACCUCGAUGUCGGCUCAUCGCAUCCUGGGGCUGUAUUCGGUCCCAAGGGUUUGGCUGUUCGCCAAUUAAAGCGGUACGCGAGCUGGGUUCAGAACGUCGUGAGACAGUUCGGUCCCUAUCUGUCGUGGGCGCAGGAUAUUUGAUGGGAGCUGUCCCUAGUACGAGAGGACCGGGACGGACGUACCUCUGGCGCACCAGUUGUUCCGCCAGGAGCAUAGCUGGGCAACUACGUACGGAUCGGAUAAACGCUGAAAGCAUCUAAGCGUGAAGCCGACCCAAAGAUAAGAUAUCCCACUGAUUUGAUCAGGUAAGACCCCUUGAAGACUACAAGGUCGAUAGGCACGAUGUGUAAGUGGAGCGAUCCAUUCAGCAAGCGUGUACUAAUAGGUCGAGGGCUUGACCAC